GUUAAAUGUCUGCAACAUAUGGUAGAUAGCAUUGUACAGCAUUUAUCUAUAUAAGUUCAACUUUCUGAUUAAUAUUGCACAACAAUAUCCGACAAAUAUAAACCACAGAGACCCUUCUGACAGCAUGAAGGCGAACAACGUCAUUCUCGCUUUCUUGGUGGCCUUUUUGUUUUCAACUGUUUCUUGCACCUGUCCAAGUCGUUGCUACACCGCCAGUUCUACAUGUAUCAACAACUGCUACAACACCAUA